rnacentral:tRNA from 1 species
UCCCUAGUGGCUUAGACGGUAAAGAAUCUGCCUGCAAUGCAGGAGACCUGGGUUCGAUUCCUGGGUUGGGAA